rnacentral:ncRNA from 1 species
GAGAGCCGUAAGCGGGAGACCCGCCUGUACGGUUCGGAGGGAGGGGAGGCGAAAGCCUUCCCCGAUCUUUCAU